rnacentral:tRNA from 2 species
UGGGUUGAUAGCUCAGCGGAUAGAGCACCCGCCUUCUAAGCGGGUGGUCGCAGGUUCGAAUCCUGCUCAGCCCAU